CCCUUAGAUGUUCUGGGAUGCACGCGCGUUACACUGAUUCGUUCAACGAGUUUAUGACCUUGCCUGAUGAGGUGGGGGAAUCUUUUCAAAUCGCAUCGUGAUGGGGAUAGAGUAUUGUAACUGUUAGUCUUCAACGAGGAAUUCCUAGUAAGUACGUGUCAUCAGCUCGUACUGAUUAUGUCCCUGCCCUUUGUACACACCGCCCGUCGCUCCUACCGAUUGAAUGGUCCGGUGAAGCGUUCGGACCGUGGCCUUUGGACGGUUCGCCGUCUGUUGGCUGCGGGAAGUUCGUUAAACCUUAUCAUUUAGAGGAAGGAGAAGUCGUAACA
rnacentral:rRNA from 1 species